rnacentral:rRNA from 1 species
UCCACGCCGUAAACGAUGGAUACUAGAUGUUGGAGGACUCGACCCCUUCAGUGUCAAAGCUAACGCAUUAAGUAUCCCGCCUGGGGAGUACGGUCGCAAGAUUAAAACUCAAAGGGAUAGACGGGGACCCACACAAGCGGUGGAGCAUGUGGUUUAAUUCGACGAUAAGCGAGGAACCUUACCUAGACUUGACAUCCCGGGAAUUCUUCAGAAAUGAGGAAGUGCCGCAAGGA